GCUGUUAUAGUGUGCUCUCAAUUUUCAAGCAUAUGUUAAAUUGAUGCAUGAUUUUUUGUUUAUUUUUUCUUCCCAUGUAGGUGAUCUUUAUUCAUCUCUAGCCCAUGCUUGCGUGUGCUGUGGUCAUAUGAGCACGAAAUCAACAAGUGUGUGUGUGUGUGUUGGAAAGGUCUUGUGCACAUUAGGAGAUCAUGCACAUGUUUAGUUCUUUUCUCCGUGAUGAGCCACCGUCGACG
rnacentral:lncRNA from 1 species